GAUGAACGCUAGCGGCAGGCCUAACACAUGCAAGUCGAACGGUAACAUGAGAGCUUGCUCUCGAUGACGAGUGGCGCACGGGUGCGUAACACGUAUGCAACCUACCUCUAUCAGGGGGAUAGCCCGAAGAAAUUCGGAUUAAUACCCCAUAAUAAUGAAAAUUCGCAUGUUUUUUCAUUUAAAGCUCCGGCGGAUAGAGAUGGGCAUGCGUCCUAUUAGUUAGUUGGUGAGGUAACGGCUCACCAAGACUCCGAUAGGUAGGGGUUCUGAGAGGAAGAUCCCCCACACUGGUACUGAGACACGGACCAGACUCCUACGGGAGGCAGCAGUGAGGAAUAUUGGACAAUGGACGAAAGUCUGAUCCAGCCAUGCCGCGUGCAGGAAGAAUGCCCUCUGGGUUGUAAACUGCUUUUAUAAGGGAAUAAACCCCAUUACGUGUAAUGGGCUGAAUGUACCUUAUGAAUAAGCACCGGCUAACUCCG
rnacentral:rRNA from 1 species